AACGAACGCUGGCGGCAGGCUUAACACAUGCAAGUCGAACGAUGUAGCAAUACAUAGUGGCGCACGGGUGAGUAACGCGUGGGAAUAUACCUUAUAGUGGGGAAUAACUUUGGGAAACUAAAGCUAAUACCGCAUACGCCCGAGAGGGGAAAGAUUUAUCGCUAUAAGAUUAGCCCGCGUGAGAUUAGGUAGUUGGUGGGGUAAUGGCCUACCAAGCCUACGAUCUCUAGCUGGUCUGAGAGGAUGAUCAGCCACACUGGAACUGAGACACGGUCCAGACUCCUACGGGAGGCAGCAGUGGGGAAUAUUGGGCAAUGGACGAAAGUCUGACCCAGCCAUGCCGCGUGAAUGAUGAAGGCCUUAGGGUUGUAAAGUUCUUUCGCCGAUGAAGAUAAUGACGGUAGUCGGAGAGAAGCCCGGCUAACUUCGUGCCAGCAGCCGCGGUAAAGUGACUACUG
rnacentral:rRNA from 1 species